rnacentral:sRNA from 1 species
CGAUCCCCCCAUGUGUGUAAUGUGCACCCCAGCAUGGAGGAAGCGUGGCUGCAAGUACCAACAUGUCAGCCACUUGAGGACUGGACCUUGUCAAAUGCAAAAAGCCUAUGCUUCCCCACACCCAGGGUCAUUUCCACAAAUGUGGGUCCUGGAGUGGAGUCCUUGCUUACGACUUAUGGCCUGCGUUUCUCCUCAGGCAUACGAGCCCCCGCCACCUCCUGCCUACCGCACAGGCUCCUUGAAGCCGAACCCAGCCUCGCCGCUCCCAGCGUCUCCCUACGGGGGCCCCACUCCAGCCUCUUAUGCUACCGCCAGCACCCCGGCUGGCCCGGCCUUCCCCGUGCAAGUGAAGGUGGCACAGCCAGUGAGGGGCUGCGGUCCACCCAGGCGGGGAGCCUCUCAGGCCUCUGGGCCCCUCCCAGGCCCCCACUUUCCUCUCCCAGGCCGAGGUGAAGUCUGGGGGCCUGGCUAUAGGAGCCAGAGAGAGCCAGGGCCAGGGGCCAAAGAGGAAGCUGCUGGGGUCUCUGGCCCUGCAGGAGGAGGAAGAGGAGGCGAGCACGGGCCCCAGGUGCCCCUGAGCCAGCCUCCAGAGGAUGAGCUGGACAGGCUGACAAAGAAGUUGGUUCACGACAUGAACCACCCGCCCAGCGGGGAGUACUUUGGCCAGUGUGGUGGCUGCGGAGAAGAUGUGGUUGGGGAUGGGGCUGGGGUUGUGGCCCUUGAUCGCGUCUUUCAUGUGGGCUGCUUUGUGUGUUCUACAUGCCGGGCCCAGCUUCGCGGCCAGCAUUUCUACGCCGUGGAGAGGAGGGCGUAUUGCGAGGGCUGCUACGUG